rnacentral:rRNA from 1 species
CCUACGGGUGGCAGCAGUGAGGAAUAUUGGUCAAUGGACGAGAGUCUGAACCAGCCAAGUAGCGUGAAGGAUGACUGCCCUAUGGGUUGUAAACUUCUUUUAUAUGGGAAUAAAACGUUCCACGUGUGGGAUUUUGUAUGUACCAUAUGAAUAAGGAUCGGCUAACUCCGUGCCAGCAGCCGCGGUAAUACGGCGGAUCCGAGCGUUAUCCGGAUUUAUUGGGUUUAAAGGGAGCGUAGAUGGAUUGUUAAGUCAGUUGUGAAAGUUUGCGGCUCAACCGUAAAAUUGCAGUUGAAACUGGCAGUCUUGAGUACAGUAGAGGUGGGCGGAAUUCGUGGUGUAGCGGUGAAAUGCUUAGAUAUCACGAAGAACUCCGAUUGCGAAGGCAGUUCACUGGACUGCAACUGACACUGAGGCUCGAAAGUGUGGGUAUCAAACAGGAUUAGAUACCCUUGUAGUC